rnacentral:rRNA from 1 species
UACGUAGGGGGCAAGCGUUGUCCGGAAUCAUUGGGCGUAAAGAGCGUGUAGGCGGCCCGGUAAGUCCGCUGUGAAAGUCCAGGGCUCAACCCUGGGAUGCCGGUGGAUACUGUCGGGCUCGAGUCCGGAAGAGGAGUGUGGAAUUCCUGGUGUAGCGGUGGAAUGCGCAGAUAUCAGGAGGAACACCAACGGCGAAGGCAGCUCGCUGGGACGGUACUGACGCUGAGGCGCGAAAGCGUGGGGAGCGAACAGG